UUGUGAAAAGGCUAGUGAAAGACCCCCGGAGCGGAGAGACCCUCACUCAAGUCUCGGGAUGAUGCGACCCCCCAAGAACUCAUGCAAGACC
rnacentral:pre_miRNA from 14 species